GAUGAAUGCUGGCGGCGUGCCUAACACAUGCAAGUCGAGCGGCAGCGAGUUUUACACUGAAUUCUGGAAGCUUCUGAGUAGUAUAGAAGAUUUAUUCAAGAAUUUUGUGUAAAAUGUCGGCGAGCGGCGGACGGCUGAGUAACGCGUAGGAAUUUGCCCCAAAGUGAGGAAUAACUGCCCGAAAGGGUAGCUAAUGCCGCAUAUGGUCUUCGGAUUAAAGCCUUCGGGCGCUUUGGGAGAAGCCUGCGUUGGAUUAGGUAGUUGGUAGGGUAAUGGCCUACCAAGCCGACGAUCCAUAGCUGGUCUGAGAGGAUGAUCAGCCAGACUGGAACUGAGACACGGUCCAGACUCCUACGGGAGGCAGCAGUGAGGAAUCUUCCACAAUGGGCGAAAGCCUGAUGGAGCAACGCCGCGUGAAGGAUGAAGGCCUUCGGGUUGUAAACUUCUUUUAUGAGUGAAGAAUAUGACGGUAACUCAUGAAUAAGCACCGGCUAACUACGUGCCAGCAGCCGCGGUCAUACGUAGGGUGCAAGCAUUAUCCGGAGUGACUGGGCGUAAAAGUUGCGUAAGCGGUUAAUAAGUGAAUAGUGAAACCUGGUGGCUCAACCAUACAGACUAUUAUUCAAACUGUUAAACUCGAGAAUGGUAGAGGUAACUGGAAUUUCUAGUGUAGGAGUGAAAUCCGUAGAUAUUAGAAGGAACACCGAUGGCGUAGGCAGGUUACUGGGCCAUUUCUGACGCUAAGGCACGAAAGCGUGGGGAGCGAACCGGAUUAGAUACCCGGGUAGUCCACGCCGUAAACGAUGGAUACUAGCUGUUGGAGGUACCGACCCCUUCAGUAGCGAAGCUAACGCGUUAAGUAUCCCGCCUGUGGAGUACGGCCGCAAGGCUAAAACAUAAAGGAAUUGACGGGGACCCGCACAAGCGGUGGAUUAUGUUCUUUAAUUCGAUGAUAACCGAAGAACCUUACCAGGGCUUGACAUCCAGGGAAGGUCUGCGAAAGUAGACUGUGCCUUUUGGAACCCUGUGACAGGUGAUGCAUGGCCGUCGUCAGCUCGUGUCGUGAGAUGUUAGGUUAAGUCCUUCAACGAGCGCAACCCUUGUGAAUAGUUGUAUUUUUCUAUUCAGACUGCCCCGGUAACGGGGAGGAAGGAGGGGAUGAUGUCAGGUCAGUAUUUCCCUUACGUCCUGGGCUAGAAACGUAAUACAAUGGCUAGUACAAUGCGCAGCGAAGCCGCGAGGUGAAGCAAAUCGCAUCAAAGCUAGUCCCAGUUCGGAUCUGUAGGCUGAAACUCGCCUGCAUGAAGUCGGAAUCGCUAGUAAUCGCAAAUCAGCAAGUUGCGGUGAAUACGUUCCCCGGUCU
rnacentral:rRNA from 1 species